AUGCUCACUUCGGCAGCACAUGUACUAAAAUGGGAAGGAUGCAGAGAAGAUUAGCAUGGCCCCUGUGCAAGGAUGACACACACGUUUGUAAAACGUUCUAUAUUUUA